GGUUGUUGGAGGUACCAUUCGCUGGAGAAGAUAUCUAGAUCACUUGAUUCUUUCAUUAUGCCACAAUGAGCGGACAUUCAGAAGCAUGGAACCUCUUCUAGUACAGAUUCUUCGAAUUGGUUUCUAUGAGAUCACCAAGUUAGACAUGCCACCUUAUGCUGUUGUAGAUGAGAGUGUAAGACUUGCAAAGGUUGCUCUUAGACCAGGUGCUGGU
rnacentral:misc_RNA from 1 species